rnacentral:tRNA from 1 species
UAGAAACUUAGGAUAACCUCAAAACCAAGAGCCUUCAAAGCUCAAAAUAUGGGUGAAACCCCCGUAGUUUCU